rnacentral:rRNA from 1 species
AACGAACGCUGGCGGCAGGCUUAACACAUGCAAGUCGAACGCAUCGCAAGAUGAGUGGCAGACGGGUGAGUAACGCGUGGGAAUCUACCCAGCUCUACGGAACCACAGAUGGAAACAACUGCUAAUACCGUAUACGCCCUACGGCGGAAAGAUUUAUCGGAAUUGGCUGAGCCCGCGUAAGAUUAGCUAGUUGGUGGGGUAAUGGCCUAUCAAGGCGACGAUCUUUAGCUGGUCUGAGAGGAUGAGCGGCCACACUGGUACUGCGACACGGCCCAGACUCCUACGGGAGGCAGCAGUGGGGAAUAUUGGACAAUGGGCGCAAGCCUGAUCCAGCCAUGCCGCGUGAGUGAUGAAGGCCUUAGGGUUGUAAAGCUCUUUCUCCGAUGAAGAUAAUGACGGUAGUCGGAGAAGAAGCCCCGGCUAACUUCGUGCCAGCAGCCGCGGUAACAC